rnacentral:rRNA from 1 species
AACGAACGCUGGCGGCAGGCUUAACACAUGCAAGUCGAGCGCCCCGCAAGGGGAGCGGCAGACGGGUGAGUAACGCGUGGGAAUCUACCUAGCUCUACGGAAUAGCUCCGGGAAACUGGAAUUAAUACCGUAUACGUCCUUCGGGAGAAAGAUUUAUCGGAGUUAGAUGAGCCCGCGUUGGAUUAGCUAGUUGGUGGGGUAAUGGCCUACCAAGGCGACGAUCCAUAGCUGGUCUGAGAGGAUGAUCAGCCACACUGGGACUGAGACACGGCCCAGACUCCUACGGGAGGCAGCAGUGGGGAAUAUUGGACAAUGGGCGAAAGCCUGAUCCAGCCAUGCCGCGUGAGUGAUGAAGGCCCUAGGGUUGUAAAGCUCUUUCAACGGUGAAGAUAAUGACGGUAACCGUAGAAGAAGCCCCGGCUAACUUCGUGCCAGCCGCCGCGGUAAAAC